CUACGGGAGGCAGCAGUGAGGAAUUUUGCGCAAUGGGCGAAAGCCUGACGCAGCAACGCCGCGUGAGUGAUGAAGGCCUUCGGGUCGUAAAGCUCUGUCGGGAGGGAAGAAAUGGUUGUGUGUUAAUACCACAUGAUCUUGACGGUACCUCCGAAGGAAGCACCGGCUAACUCCGUGCCAGCAGCCGCGGUAAUACGGAGGGUGCAAGCGUUGUUCGGAAUUAUUGGGCGUAAAGCGCGUGUAGGCGGUUUUUUAAGUCUGAUGUGAAAGCCCCGGGCUCAACCUGGGAAGUGCAUUGGAAACUGGGAAACUUGAGUACGGGAGAGGGUAGUGGAAUUCCUAGUGUAGGAGUGAAAUCCGUAGAUAUUAGGAGGAACACCGGUGGCGAAGGCGGCUACCUGGACCGAUACUGACGCUGAGACGCGAAAGCGUGGGGAGCAAACAGGAUUAGAUACCCUAGUAU
rnacentral:rRNA from 1 species